rnacentral:rRNA from 1 species
GACAGAGGGUGCAAACGUUGUUCGGAAUUACUGGGCGUAAAGCGAGUGUAGGCGGUCUUCUAAGUCGGAUGUGAAAGCCCCGGGCUCAACCCGGGAAGUGCACUCGAAACUGGAAGGCUAGAGUAUCGGAGAGGUUGGUGGAAUUCCCGGUGUAGCGGUGAAAUGCGCAGAUAUCGGGAAGAACACCCGUGGCGAAGGCGGUUCUCUGGGACGGUACUGACGCUGAGACGCGAAAGCGUGGGGAGCGAACAGG